CCUACGGGUGGCAGCAGUGAGGAAUAUUGGUCAAUGGACGAAAGUCUGAACCAGCCAAGUAGCGUGAAGGAUGACUGCCCUAUGGGUUGUAAACUUCUUUUAUGUGGGAAUAAACUGUUCCACGUGUGGGUUUUUGUAUGUACCAUAUGAAUAAGGAUCGGCUAAUUCCGUGCCAGCAGCCGCGGUAAUACGGAGGGUCCGGGCGUUAUCCGGAUUUAUUGGGGUUAAAGGGAGCGUAGGUGGAUUGUUAAGUCAGUUGUGAAAGGUGGCGGCUCAACCGUACAAUUGCAGUUGAAACUGGCAGUCUUGAGUACGGUAGAGGUGGGCGGAAUUCGUGGUGUAGCGGUGAAAUGCUUAGAUAUCACGAAGAACUCCGAUUGCGAAGGCAGUUCACUGGACUGCAACUGACACUGAGGCUCGAAAGUGUGGGUAUCAAACAGGAUUAGAUACCCUAGUAGUC
rnacentral:rRNA from 1 species